GCCGUUUUCUGCUGCCGCUGCUGCCUGGGGAUGUUUCAGGAAGCGGAAGCAGGAAUGUUGAAAAGUUUGUAGAAAAGUUUGUAGCUCUUUGACAGCUUCAAACCAGGGGCGCAGACUGCGGACACGACAUGUCGGUUUGCUACCCUUUGAUAAUGUUGCUCUAGAGUUCUACAACCAGAGACAAAGACAUGGAAAGCGGAGCUCUGGAAAGCAGCGCUGCUCCCGGUCCCGUCCGGCAGCCUGUCACCAUGGCUUGCUUGCGGCGUCAGGCCUGGGCAAAGAGCCGAGACUCGACCUGGCAAGAAUCAAAACCCGACCCCCAAAGUUCCCAGGACUCCCACCUGAGUCCAAGUAGCAGCGAAGCGCUGAGAGACGCGGAGGAACCAGGUUAGACUAAAGUGGGAACUAACCACUGGUUUGGAAACAUUGAAAUCCUGUCUGUGCCUUCACAUGCAUAUGGUCUUACCCACAGAGUUUAUUAUGAUAUUGAACCACGUUUUUCCACUCGUUUGGGAAGAUUUAGGAAGGUUUUUCAAGGAAUUUGU
rnacentral:lncRNA from 1 species